rnacentral:tRNA from 1 species
GCCGGUGUGGCGGAAUUGGCAGACGCGCUAGACUCAAAAUCUGGUAUCUUUAAGAGAUGUGUGGGUUCAAGUCCCUCCGCCGGCA